ACGGAAGGCAGCAGUGGGGAAUAUUGGGCAAUGGGCGAAAGCCUGACCCAGCAACGCCGCGUGAAGGAAGAAGGCCUUCGGGUUGUAAACUUCUUUUACCAGGGACGAAGGACGUGACGGUACCUGGAGAAAAAGCCACGGCUAACUACGUGCCAGCAGCCGCGGUAAUACGUAGGUGGCAAGCGUUGCCCGGAUUUACUGGGUGUAAAGGGCAUGUAGGCGGUCUGUCAAGCCAGGCGUGAAAGCCAGGGGCUCAACCCCUGAACUGCGCUUGGAACUGGCGGACUGGAGUCGCUGAGGGGGAACCGGAAUUCCUGGUGUAGGGGUGAAAUCUGUAGAUAUCAGGAAGAACACCGAUGGCGAAGGCAGGUUUCCAGCAGACGACUGACGCUGAGGUGCGAAGGUGCGGGGAGCAAACAGGAUUAGAUACCCUGGUA
rnacentral:rRNA from 1 species